GUUUAGCAUCACUUCACAUCUAUCAUACCCUUAUCGAGCAGCAAUUUAAGCAAGAUAAUCGAUGAACAUGUGACAUUCAAUUAUGCUAUUCAAUGCCGCUUGUCAAUUGAUGUUAGAAAAGGUCAAUUACAACGAAAUCUUACAUACAUAGAGAGGGUCAACUACAAGAGGUUUAAGACACCCCUCGUUUAUCUUUGAGCUUUGUCUGAAGGGUGGUGAUGUAACACACCCAUCUAAAGAGGUUGUGUGUCCCAAAUCGACAAUCACACGGGGAGGGAACUUGAAAAUUCAUGAGCCGGUCGGGCUCCACUAGUGCACCACCCACAGUGUCAAAAGAACGACCAUCCAGAUCAUGUCGACUAGCCUCAAUCGGUGAUCCUAAUACUAACCUUGCUGAUCAGCUUCACAUAAUGCAACUGCAGAUGGAUUUGAUGCAAAAACAUAAUGUACGAGUAGUUCCACUAUCAAAAUGAGUUCAGCAGGGUCCUGGCUUUGAUAUAUUCCAAGAGGACAUUCCCUCAACUGCAUUUACCACCUGAACACACUGCAAAUCCAAACCCACCUCCCAUGGCGUCGACAAUGACGAAGACAAUUAAUAUCUUCCAUCAGGUAAGUUUUCAUCCUUUUUUAUUUAAUUUUUUUGAGGAUAAUAUUUAGUUAAAAUUUUUUUUGGGGGGG
rnacentral:lncRNA from 1 species